rnacentral:snRNA from 1 species
AUACUUACCUGGCAGGGGAGAUACCAUGAUCACGAAGGUGGUUUUCCCAGGGCGAGGCUCACCCAUUGCACUCCGGGUGUGCUGACCCCUGCGAUUUCCCCAAAUGUGGGAAACUUGACUGCAUAAUUUGUGGUAGUGGGGGACUGCGUUCGCGCUUUCCCCUG